rnacentral:sRNA from 15 species
ACCCUACUGAAAUAGGCCAUUCGACUCAUUUGUUCGUGGCAGAAGAGAGCAGCAGUGUGACCGUCAUAUGAUCGCAAUAUGAUAGUUCGUUAUAUAUUUUCGCGCAAAUCACCGGUGUCGCGCGGUGCAAAAUUAUCGUUCCGGUGGAAGCCCCGGCGCGGUCCAUCAUUGCGGAAGUUACGGUCGCGUUCGCGAGAUAUUUGUGUACUCUGAGAAUAUAAUUUAACACAAAUUCAAAUUUCUAUAUUCAGGAUUAAAUGGCUACGAAUUAACAUCUGUCAUCAAGCAUCAUUAAUCCGUACUUCAGGUGGAGCGUCAAAAUAGUAGUUUGGCGCAUUGCUUUUGUCUUAUAUCGAUAUGGUGAAUGCACGAAAAUCAGUUUAAGCUGCAAUAUCAUGCAUCACAGUAGACAUUAGGAGGACACAGGAGGAGUACCACAAGUCCAGCGUGAGAUACAGCAAGUUUUAAGGCUUUGCUGUUUGGUCACUGACAAAUCAAAAAAACACCAAGCAGACGCGCUCUCUUACUGAGCACUGUAAACUGUUUCUCGAUCCAACACACGAUUUAAAGAGAAAAGAGAUUUUAAAGAGAAGGUCUUUGGUCAAGCGCUCAUAGAAAAAGUGUCUGUAGAUGAGCGGUAGCAAAAAAGUGUCUGCGUUAAGUGUUUUUAGUUUUCUGCUUAUUUUAGGUUAUAUGAAUUGUGAUAUAUUUUUAUAGAAUUGGACAAAUUUUGCAAACUGAAGAUAAUAAUGAAGAUUAUACCCGUUAGAAAUUUAACUGCAUUUUGACCUAAUAAUAUCUGAAAAAUCGGUUACAAACAUAAAGCAUGCACAUUAUUGUGUAAAUUUAUUAUAUGCAAACUUUGUAAUUAUCUUUUGAUGUAUGGUUUUCAAUAAUUAAUAAAUUAAUAUGUAUCAAAUAA